rnacentral:lncRNA from 1 species
GGGAUGCUUAAAAAAGGAAGACAGAUGUGGUUAUGGCUGAUAAAAUGUCUUGAGGAGGGAGUUGCACACUGCUGCCUGCAACCAGACAAAACACACAUACACACACACUUCUGCGGUAUAAUGUCACUGCUGAUGUCACAGGUGAUGUCAUCACAUAGAUUCAUUUCAGCAGAGGUGAGAUGUGCUAUUUAAGGUGAGACGUUAUGACCAUAAAUAUAUGAUAACCUACACAAUGUCCACAAAAAGUUACUAGCUAAAUAAAUUUCAUCUCUCUAUUCAAAAGCAAAUCAGACUUAUAUACUAUGCAGACAUUAAUCAUAGUUACAGUUAUUAUUCAGAUCAAAGUUGCAAACUUUACGGAUGUGGAUUCACUGGGGGUUAUUGUCUCAUCUGAAAAGCAGGAAAGAUGAGCAAAAGUCUCAUUUCAAUGUAAUAGCUGUCAAAGAGAAAUGACUGAGAUCUGAUUUGUGGUUUUUCUUUUAGGGAGGUUUUUAGAAAAGGCAUCCUCUUUUUUCACUCCUCAAUGAGACAAUGAGGUGCAGGAGCUCCACCCACCUGGGUUCAGUACCUGCUCAGGUGCUCAAACAAUAAAAAGACUGUUCACUCUGAUAAAGAGCCACUUUCUCCAGAGUCCAGAACAUUAGUUGAUGUUGACUCAACGUUCUGGCAGAGAUAACACACUGAAGGAUAACACGUCUUCAGAGAUGAUGAAGAUUAUCCCAAGAGCCUCCACCGCCUUAGUUGUUGGUUGGAUUGUACUUUUCAUGGGUGUUAACUCUGUCAACAUGUCUGCGGUGGAUUCCCCGACUGAAAGCACAGAUGCCUUGACUCCACACUCUUUGACUUCAGUUCUGAUGGAUCUCAGAAUCACUAACCGUGUUUAUAAAGACUCACUGGCUGAUCAGCAAUCAGCUGAGUAUACAACACUCAAGCAAGAGGUGGAGCAACUGGUGAGGGUCUCUUGUUAUUCAUGCUUGUAUAAAGCACUCAUGGAAUAUUUACAGUAUUCUAGGAUAUAUUACAUCCCCCACCAGACAUACAGUAUAGACACCGGCGGCGCCAGGGGGGGUCUUGGGGGGUCUCAAGACCCUGCCAAAAAAUGCCUUGACCCCCCAUUUGACCCCCCAGCCUCUUCCUGAUUAAAAAAUAUAUAUAAUCGGGAUAAAGAUCCAAAAUGUUUCUCUUCAAACUACGCAGAACAAUAAUAAAUAAUAAUUAUUUCGACAUUUAUUCAUACACUGAACCGAGAACCGUUUCUGUCGGACGCGUCCGAUUCGAGAACCGAUGAGCUGAUGAUAACUGCGCAUGCGUGAUUCAGCGUGAAGCAGACUGACACAGAGCGCAUCUGAACCGAACUGAUUCUUUUGGUGAUUGAUUCUGAACUGAUUCUUUGCUAAUGUUAUAAGCGCGGGUAAACCAAAGGCUUGAAUGAAGGGCAAUCAUCGCCAAUGACGGCAUUACAUCGAGCGCAAAAGAACCGGUGAACCAUUUUUUUUCUUCAGCUGGUUUAUUUGAUCGAACUGUCCGAAAGAACCGGCUCACUUGAGCACCUGCUCCUUUGCCCCUUAAGUGCCCUUUUGUCAAAGCAAAAUUUCCUCAAUUUUUUUUUUGUAAUAACAUAAACUUUUGUGAAUGCCUGCCCACGCCCAAUCAUAAUAUUAGUACAAUUUAUUAAUAAUAAUUUAGCCGUAAAUAAAAUGACCAACAUGAUGACAGUUCACCUGACUACGACCUCAUCCAACCAGGAAGAUUCCUCAUGCUGCACGCGCAUUUUUUAAUUGCUAGAGGAUAUUUUCAACAUCGUGGCAGCUGGUAAGUGGUGUUUCAUUCUCAGCGAAGUGAUUUUGGUGUUUAUUUACUUAUUAUUAUUUUACAAGAACGAUGUGAUGUGAGAACAUGCAGAUACGUUGUUUAUAUUGCUGUGUGUAAGUUAGCCUGUAGUGUAGAAGUAACACUAGCGUGCUGUUUGAGGGAGAAAAGUUUCACAGGCAUCGAGGGGUCUGGUCUUUUUUAUGUUAUUUGAAUAAACUUUUAUUAUAUUACAGUACUUAUUUUUAACACGUAAAAAUAAUUAUCACACCACUGGUAAGGCUUAUUCAGAUUUUCUCAUUCUCUGAAUUAUCAUUAUAAAAAUAAAAACAAUUCUGAUUUUAAAUGUGAUGCAAAUAUUUUUUCUACAAUAGCAACAGUGUUUACAACAGCAAGACCACUUUAGCCUGUAAACUCAAUAAUAUCUAUCUGGAAAUAAAUGUAAAAAUAUCAAUGUCAAUAAAAAUGCAUAAUAUACCUGACAUGAAAGUGCAGUGUGAAGGAUAUGAAUAACAAAUGUAGCCUGUCAUUUGUUUACAUUGCAAAGGUGUUUUUGUUGUUUAGUAGCAGAAAUAUGCAGUUAUUAGCCAUGUCCACUGUAUUUUUUGUUGGUUUUCAUGAGACCCCCCUUGAAAAGACCAGGACCCCCCCAUUGCCCCCCCAAUCAAAAUUGUCUGGAGCCGCCACUGAGUAUAGAUGAAAGUAAAUCAUUUGAACUAUUAGGUCAGUGACUAGUGGUCAUCUAGAACUCCUUUGGAAAAUAUCCCAGGUACAGUCAUGGUUUCAGAUAAAAAUACAACAAUACUUUAUGUUACUGAAUGGUUGCAUUUAGAGAAAAGUACCAUUUAUCAUUUAAAUGUAAAUACCUUGCAUUAUAUCAAAGUACCUUUGGU